rnacentral:rRNA from 1 species
GAGGAAUAUUGGACAAUGGAGGAGACUCUGAUCCAGCCAUGCCGCGUGCAGGAAGAAUGCCCUAUGGGUAGUAAACUGCUUUUAUACGGGAAGAAAAAGAGCUACG